rnacentral:tRNA from 1 species
GCCCGCUUGGCGGAAUUGGUAGACGCGCUAGCUUCAGGUGCUAGUGCCUUCUAGGCGUGAGAGUUCAAAUCUCUCAGCGGGCACCA